AGUGACGUCAAGUCCUCAUGGCCUUUAUGCUUAGGGCUACACACGUGCUACAAUGGGUGGUACAAAGAGAAGCCAACUCGCGAGAGUGCGCAAAUCUCAAAAAGCCAAUCCUAAGUUCGGAUUGAAGUCUGCAACUCGACUUCAUGAAGCUGGAAUCGCUAGUAAUCGCGGAUCAGCAUGCCGCGGUGAAUACGUUCCCGGGCCUU
rnacentral:rRNA from 1 species